UUACUCGCAAUACCAUAGGCAACUUUGCUUUAGUGACUAUCAAUCAAACAAUAUGGAGUUUCUAUUGUAAAGAAAUAUUGGAGGAAAUAUGGAAGUCUUGAAGAAAAAGUGAAAUAUAAACCUAAUAAAGAAAUAAAAUAAAGCCUUAUGUUUUCCUGACUUGGAUUAUAAUUUACAUCUAUGUUAAUACAACAGAGAGUUUAAAUAGUUAAUUUAUUAUACUCAGUAAUAGGAAACAAAGGAUAAUAACUACAGACAAGUCUGUGGAGGUGUGGUUAUUAAUGGAAAUUUAAUUACACUAUCAUUCAUGGAUGUGAAAGUUAACAUGCACUUAGAUUAUGCUUUUUUCUAUGACCUUUUAGGAACUGAAAACCAACAUAGAUGUACAAGAGUUAUGUAACAUGGAUAAACAAAAAUUGAAGUGGUAUAAUACUUUAUAACUGCCCAGUGUUACUGUGAAUAAUGUCUAUUCUUCAGAUUACAGAAUUUGGCAUACAGAAGAGGAGAGAAAGGUGUGGACUUAUUGAAAGAAGUUUUAUAAAUUAAAGACAGAACCAUCAUGUUUUCCUACACAUCAUCUUCACCCAAAACAAAACAAUUUGAAAGAUGUUGCAGUUGAAAAUCAGGAAAAUUAAGAAGAUAAAAAGGCCAAAGAAGCUGUUUGACAAAUUAACAACGGUAAUACAAAGACAUUGAACACCAUCUACAUGUUAAAAAAAAACAGUAUGUACAGUAUUUUAAAUUUUCAGAGGCUGUUCAAAAUUUGCAUCAGGAAUAUCCAACAGGUCCCUUAGUCAACCCAAUGAUACCAUGCAGUAGAAGACCAAGGAAUAGGCAACAGAGUGAAAUAAUCUACUUUAUAAGCUAUUCAAUCACUAGAUAUAAGCCCUUAUUUGCCAAAUUUUCCAAGGAUAGUCAAAAAGAUCAACUGCCGGUGAAGAAAAUGGUCUCAGUAUACAUCCGGAAAAGAAAAGGCUUCAUUUGGGAAAACUGUUUGGUCCAAACCACAUCUUAAAUAAGAAUGGUUCAAAUACUAAUUUAAGUAUGGAAGGUAGGGAGGAAAAAGCUUUGCAGAAUAAAAAAAAUCCUUAUGAUGAGGUUUGAAACACAAAUCAUGGCUUUCAGUGUGAUGAUUCCAGUCAAGCCCAUAAAUAUUUUUCAGAAAAUUGCCUUCUUGGAGAAUCUUAAUUGUUUUCUUUUUUCACCUCAUACCCAGUGUUUUUAACUACUGAAAAAAAUGUUUUAAAGCAUAACUGUAGAUUUUAGAACUAAUAGAUAUUACAUACUAGAUAUUAGAUAGUAUUAGAACUAGAUGGUAUUAGUUAGGAGAUAUUUGAUAGUAUUAGAAUUAGGAGAUAUUAGUAGAUAUUAGUAUUAUAACCAGGAGAUAUUAGAUAGUAGAUUUGAUAUGAUAUGGAUUUCUAGAAGUCUUGUAAACAAAAUUUUAAAAGUUGACAUUUUACCUAAAUCCUUCUUUGAAAGGUUUUUUAGAACUUAGAAAAAAGAACUAUAGGUGAAGUUUAAAUGAAUCUAUUUUACAAAAGGAAAUGAUUGUAAAUUUUUUAAAAAAGAAAUUAAAUGAAUGUUUUGAUAACAAUCUGGGUAAAGGGACAAAUUCAAUGACUGUCUAGAAUGCUAGUAAAGCAGAAUCGCCUAGAGGAGAAAAAAAUCCCAGGAAAAGAUUGGAUGAAAUUAGACAGAAAGAAACUGAAUUGCAAAAGACACCUCUGGACUCUAAAAUUUUACAUCAAAUUAAAUUGCUACAGCAAGAAAAGUCUAUGCUAACUAACAGUUUAAGAAAUAGAAAGUGUGAAACAAAGACAUUUUGAGUUUGCAAAUGAAUCAGGAAAAUGGCUGGCGUAUAAAUUAGGGUUGGGGAAAGAGAAUAAUGGAAAAGAAUCACAAAGGUAAUAAUCUGAAUUGGUUGAGUUCAUUAGUCGGAACCCUGACAAAGAGAUAAUGAUCUUAUGUCUUUUCAUAAUUUCUAUUCCAAUCUUUACAAAAAGCAGGAGCUUGAUAUGUAUAAAAUAGACUAAUAUAUGUCAAGAUAACCUUUACCUAAACCUUCACAUUGCAGCCAUCAUAAAUAUGAGUCAAUUGUCAAGUGUCUGAAUUUUGAUCAUGCGUUGAUGUCAAUGUUACAAGGUUCUAAGUGUGAAAAACAGUCACGGGUCACUUUUUUUCAGUGCCAUUGCAACUUUGAACAUUCACUAAAUGAAUUGUUAUAAGUCAAGUCAAUUUGUACCAAAUAGUGUGAAUCUAAAGGACAAAAUCAGAAAGGAUAAGGUUCAGAAUGAACAAGCAACAAAUGCUAAUGCUAAUAAUAAUAAAAAAUUUCUUUUAACAUGUAUACAAGAAAAAACUGAAGGAAAUGAUUGGUUCACUAAUGGAAGAUGGCAAGGAGGUGACAGAUAGCAAAGAGAAACAAGUGCUAAAAUUUAUUCUUUGCAUCCAUCUUUACACAAAAGGAAAACUAAUGUAUCAAAAGCAGUAUCAUAAAAAUCAGAAUAGGAAUACAGGCCAAAAUAAGCAAUAAAAUGGUAAGAGAACACCUGUACACAGUAAAAGAGUUCAAAUCGGCAGUCCCAGCUGGAGUGUAUCCCAGGUUUCUGAAGGAGUUGGUAGAUGUGAUCUCGGAACUAUUGAAUUAAAUCUUUCAAAGCUCCAGGAGCACCAGAGGACUGGAAAAGAGCUGUUGUGGUUCCAGUCUUCAAAAAGCGGAAAACUAGAGGCUAGCCAGCUUGACAUCAAUACCUGGGAAAAUUCUCAUAAAGAUAAUCAAGCAACAGAUCUGCAAACAACUAGAAACAAGCAAAGCUAUUACUAAAAGCCCUUAUGGGUUUGUUAAAAAAAGAUCAUGUCUGAUUACACCUAAUUAUAUUCUUUGACAAAAAUGAUAAAAUUAGUGGAUCAGGGAAAUGUUGUGGACAUAGUUUAUUUAGUGAGGUAUUUGACAAAGAAGACUAUAUAGCUUACCUCUUGGUAAGUUUGAAAAAUGUGGGAUAGACAGCUUCACCACCAGAUAGAUUUGCAACUGGCUGACCAAGUCCAUUCAAUAUGCAUUCUUCAAUGGAACUACAUCUAAAUUAACACCUCAAGGUUCUGUCUUAAUCCACUACUCCUGAAUAUCUUCAUAAAUGAUUUAAAUGAUGGGAUAGAAGGGUAACUCAUCAAAUUUGCAGAAGACACCAAGCCGCCAACAUUUUAGAAAAUAGACACAAAAUUGAGAAAGAUCUUGACAGAGUUGAACAUUGGGCCCUAUCCAACAAAAUGCAAUUCAGUGGUGAGAAAAUGUCUCACAUUAGGAAGAAAAGCCAAAUGUGUAAGUAUAGAAUAGGUGGUACCUGGCUCAACAGCAGCAACUGUGAGAAUGAUCUAGGAAUCCUAGUGGACAACUACUUAAGUAUGAAGCAGCAGUGUGCUGCAGUUGCCAAAAAAAGCCAAUGCAGUCUUAGACUGCACCAACAGAAGGAUAGUAUCAAGCUCAUGCAGUGAUAGUAUUGCUUUAUAGUGCACGAGUACAUCUGCAUUUGGAAUAUUG